CGGGCGGACUUCGGAGGAAGAAUAGGGCUGAAAUUGCAUGGAGUGGUUAAGUCAGUUUUAAAAAUGAUUGUGGAGUGAAAUGUACAAAGUUGAGCUCAGUGUACUGUAGAUGGUGUUCAAGGGGAAUGAAGUACUAGGAGAGUCUCAGCUACAGUGGCCUUGCGUGGGAUUGGCUUGUUGUAGUCUGUACUAGUGCAUCGUACAAUUAAGCUAGCUUGUUUUUUGGUGAGACAGUGUUUUAUUGGUGAGGAAAGGGUAACCUAACCUGAUUGCACUUAACUCAAGCCCUACAGAAAGGGUUUCUUCAGGUGAAAAGGUGUAUGUGAUGUGGAAAUGCUCAAGAAGAAUAAUAAUACUUAGCGUCUGAACCAAAAAAGCUCUUCUUGUGAGGCAAAUUAGCACGCUGUUAAUUAUACAGUGUUCCUGGCUUUAAUUUGUUCUAAAUGUAAAAUGAAAAUAAAAGUAACAUAAUUAUAAUAUAAUUAUGAAUUCAUCCCACUCAAAGCCUUGACUGACGGCAGGUUUCACCACAGCCAGAAUCUGAUAAGUCUUGUGCGACUCUUUUUCUUUUUUUUACUUACUAUAGUAUGCAUGCUACAGACUUCAUAUUUUUAUUACUGCAGGUAAACCAAAUUCAACGCAGGCUACAACAGUUACAACCAAUACAAGUUCUAAAGGUAGCACAAAUCCUGCCGUCAUCGCAGGGGUAGUUUUUGCUGCAGUCAUUAAGUCGUCUUUCUGAUUGUUGUUUUAGUGGUUUUUUGUGUGCACCCUGGUUUCAGGACGCGCAUAUCAAGAUGCUGUCAAGUUGAGUAUACUAGAACACGGAGUGACUCAUCCUAAAUAAACUUUUCAAAUUGAAUGUCUUGUGUAUGUGGUCAGAAUAAAUAUUUCUUUUUAAGGAAAAUGCAAAUGCUGUUAUACAGUGUCAAUUAUCAGGUGCAUGGAAGUCAUUAUCCUUGUGCUAAUUAUAAGUUUGAUGUAAGUAGACUAAAUAUGGCUUUUUUAAUCUAAAAUAUACACUCAGAUAACUUUUAUAACAAUUAGGAGAAGUAUUGUUAGCAGGAGACAUUUUUAUGGUUGUGAUAAUGUAAUAAAUGUUUUCCUUUUUUGUUUGUGGUAUUACGAGAA